AAUGAACGCUGGCGGCGUGCUUAACACAUGCAAGUCGAACGAGAAACCCCGGCUUGCCGGGGGAGUAAAGUGGCGCACGGGUGAGUAACGCGUGGGUAAUCUACCCUCGAAUUGGGGAUAACACAUCGAAAGGUGUGCUAAUACCGAAUAAGACCACGGUGGUUUCGGCCACUGAGGUCAAAGUCGGCCUCUGCUUGCAAGCUGUCGUUUGAGGAUGAGCCCUCGUCCCAUUAGCUAGUUGGUGGGGUAAGAGCCCACCAAGGCAACGAUGGGUAGCUGGUCUGAGAGGAUGGCCAGCCACACUGGAACUGGAACACGGUCCAGACUCCUACGGGAGGCAGCAGUGAGGAAUUUUGCGCAAUGGGGGCAACCCUGACGCAGCAACGCCGCGUGAGUGAAGAAGGCCUUCGGGUUGUAAAGCUCGGUCAAGCGGGAAGAAACUUUUUCGAACGAAUAAUUCGAGAAAUUGACGGUACCGCUGAAGGAAGCACCGGCUAACUCCGUGCCAGCCGCCGCGGUAAUAC
rnacentral:rRNA from 1 species